CCAGACUCCUACGGGAGGCAGCAGUGAGGAAUAUUGGUCAAUGGCCGGAAGGCUGAACCAGCCAAGUCGCGUGAGGGACGACUGCCCUAUGGGUUGUAAACCUCUUUUAUAAGGGAAGAAUAAAUGCUACGUGUAGCAUGAUGCCUGUACCUUAUGAAUAAGCAUCGGCUAACUCCGUGCCAGCAGCCGCGGUAAUACGGAGGAUGCGAGCGUUAUCCGGAUUUAUUGGGUUUAAAGGGUGCGUAGGCGGUCCUUUAAGUUAGUGGUCAAAUCGUGGGGCUCAACCCCAUCCAGCCGUUGAAACUGGCAGUCUCGAGUUGGAGAGAAGUAUGCGGAAUGCGCGGUGUAGCGGUGAAAUGCAUAGAUAUCGCGCAGAACUCCGAUUGCGAAGGCAGCAUGCCGGCUCCACACUGACGCUGAGGCACGAAAGCGUGGGUAUCGAACAGGAUUAGAUACCCUGGUA
rnacentral:rRNA from 1 species